GCCCUGAGUCCUGACUGCAAGGAGACAGAGUUAAGCCCUGAGUCCUGACUAUCAGGGCUUAACCCUUUCUCCUUGCAGUCAGAAUUCAGGGU